rnacentral:tRNA from 1 species
GACAAUCUGUCCGAGAGGUUAAGGAGACUGACUUGAAUACAGCAGCAGAUCAGUUGGGUUUACCCGCACAGGUUCGAAUCCUGUGGUUGUCG